UACAGAGGGUGCGAGCGUUAAUCGGAAUUACUGGGCGUAAAGCGUGCGUAGACGGUUAUCUAAGUCGGAUGUGAAAGCCCCGGGCUCAACCUGGGAAUUGCAUUCGAGACUGAAUAGCUAGGGUGCGGUAGAGGGAAGCGGAAUUUCCGGUGUAGCGGUGAAAUGCGUAGAUAUCGGAAGGAACAUCAGUGGCGAAAGCGGCUUCCUGGACCAGCACCGACGUUCAGGCACGAAAGCGUGGGGAGCAAACAGG
rnacentral:rRNA from 1 species